CGGGUGAGUAAUGCUUAGGAAUCUGCCUAUUAGUGGGGGACAACAUUCCGAAAGGAAUGCUAAUACCGCAUACGUCCUACGGGAGAAAGCAGGGGAUCUUCGGACCUUGCGCUAAUAGAUGAGCCUAAGUCGGAUUAGCUAGUUGGUGGGGUAAAGGCCUACCAAGGCGACGAUCUGUAGCGGGUCUGAGAGGAUGAUCCGCCACACUGGGACUGAGACACGGCCCAGACUCCUACGGGAGGCAGCAGUGGGGAAUAUUGGACAAUGGGGGGAACCCUGAUCCAGCCAUGCCGCGUGUGUGAAGAAGGCCUUAUGGUUGUAAAGCACUUUAAGCGAGGAGGAGGCUACUGAGACUAAUACUCUUGGAUAGUGGACGUUACUCGCAGAAUAAGCACCGGCUAACUCUGUGCCAGCAGCCGCGGUAAUACAGAGGGUGCGGGCGUUAAUCGGAUUUACUGGGCGUAAAGCGUGCGUAGGCGGCUUUUUAAGUCGGAUGUGAAAUCCCCGAGCUUAACUUGGGAAUUGCAUUCGAUACUGGGAAGCUAGAGUAUGGGAGAGGAUGGUAGAAUUCCAGGUGUAGCGGUGAAAUGCGUAGAGAUCUGGAGGAAUACCGAUGGCGAAGGCAGCCAUCUGGCCUAAUACUGACGCUGAGGUACGAAAGCAUGGGGAGCAAACAGGAUUAGAUACCCUGGUAGUCCAUGCCGUAAACGAUGUCUACUAGCCGUUGGGGCCUUUGAGGCUUUAGUGGCG
rnacentral:rRNA from 1 species